GACUGAUGGGGUCCCCAUGGCAGACAGAGGCCUUCCUCUCCCAGUCCACCCAGGUGCUUUCGCACCUGCACGAUGUAGUCACAAUCUUCCACCUCGAACGCGAUGUCCUUCACUCCGUCACCGUGUUUCACCAGGCCCUGAACCCAGAGCCCACCCACGGAGCCAUGCGUCCACCCUCCCAGAACCCAGACCCCACCCACAGAGUCAUGCGUCCACCCUCCCCGGGCACCUCACCUUUGUUCCAGGGGUUGAGCGCUGAGGAGAGGACAAACACAAUCUAAGAUACAAGGAGAAGGAGGUUUUCUGAGCACCUGUGGGGUCAGUGUUGUGCCAGGCUGAGGAGGAAACGAAACUAGGAAGGACCCUGUUGCAUGGUUGUAAAAGAUGCCAGUGGAGGGGUCGGUGGGAGCUGAAUUAUAUGUUUUUGUUG
rnacentral:antisense_RNA from 1 species